rnacentral:rRNA from 1 species
AUGACUUGGAGCAAACUCCACGUAAUCCUGACAUGCAGUGAUGAUGGUGUGCACAGUGAGCAAACAAAGAAGCUUAUUACUGAUGUACUCCUGCACAAAGCUUACCCAGCACAUGAGCAAGGCACUAUUGAGGCAGACACAACAACCCGUUCACAAGUUCCACAGCGAGCUUACAGGCUUAAACCAAUCAAAGUGGUUGAAUUCGACCGGCCCUGCCCACAGGUCAUUGUUUACUUGGAUCUAACACAUGAGGAAUGCUCCCGACUCUUCCCAACCGGAAACAUUUGGCACACUUGUUCCAUCUUGCUGGACAAAGAUUUCUUUCUCAUAACAAACUGUCAAAUGGAUACACCUCUGGCCUCUUUAUAG